rnacentral:sRNA from 1 species
CGUGCUCCUCGGCAGCCGUUGCUCGGCCGGUUUUGGUAGGCCCGGGCCGCCGCCAGGCCUCCGCCUGAGCCCGCAGCCGCCAUGGACAACUACGCAGAUCUUUCGGAUACCGAGCUGACCACCUUGCUGCGCCGGUACAACAUCCCGCACGGGCCUGUAGUAGACUUGAAUUCUACUAGAGGGGAUGCAGAUAUGUAUGAUCUUCCCAAGAAAGAGGACGCUUUACUCUACCAGAGCAAGGGUAAGGCAGGGGUUGGGUGGGCACGCUGGCACCUUCACCCGACUGCGUCAGGGACCCCGCUCACCGGGAGGACCUGAGACCUCAGUCCCAACCACUCCAGCAGCCUUAGGAGGGAGAAACUGUUACAGGUCCCGAAGUGGGAUUCAGAUUAGGGCCAUCGGGCCAGGCGGGGCACACCGAUGCCCCCUCUGCUACCGCUGCCCCCCUUCCCAAGGCUACAAUGACGACUACUAUGAAGAGAGCUACUUCACCACCAGGACUUAUGGGGAGCCCGAGUCUGCGGGCCCGUCCAGGGCUGUCCGCCAGUCAGUGACUUCAUUCCCAGAUGCUGACGCUUUCCAUCGCCAGGUGCGUGAUGACGAUCUUUUGUCUUCUUCUGAAGAGGAGUGCAAGGAUAGGUGCGUAGUGGGGGAGCCCAGGGACGGGCUGGUUCUGGGUCCAGGCUCCUGGCCCACUUGCUCCCCUCUUUUGCCUCAGGGAACGCCCCAUGUACGGCCGGGACAGUGCCUACCAGAGCAUCACGCACUACCGCCCUGUUUCAGCCUCCAGGA